UGUGCCAUAUGUCUGUGAUGUAACAAAACACCAUCCCUUCUGUCUGGCAGUCACACUGUGAUAAUGCUGUGAGGAGGAGUGCUCUCUUUCUACCACUUUGGGAGCCAGGGCCCUAUAGUCUAUGUUGAGCUGCAUCCAAUAUCUCCAUGGAUCUGUAAUAACUUCAGCUAUAUGAAGACAGCAUCAGCCUUUUACAGGUACAGGCAAGGAAAAGAAGAAAAAGAAGAAAAGGAAAGGAAGGAAGGAAGGAAGGAAGGAAGGAAGGAAGAAAAAGAAAAUAACUGGUUUUUUUUUUGUUUUUAGUAGACCUCUUCCUCUCUUGACCCUUGCACUGAAAUAAAUAUAGUAAUAAAAUCCA